AACACGAAAGAUAAUCGCUGCAGUAAAAUGUAGAGGAAAGUCCAUGCUCGCACCACCUGAGAUGGUGGUAGUGUUUGUGCUCAGUGAAUCAAUAAGCUGAGGUAUAGAGGCAUCUAUAACGGCAGACCAAAAUCCUAAGGGAAACUAUGGAUGGAGGCUAUAAAAGUGCCACAGUGACGAAGUUCCUAGGGAAACCUAGGAAGUGGAACGAGGUAAACCCCAUAAGCGAGAAACCCAAAAUUGGUAGGGGAACUCACACUACUGAAAUGAAGGUAACGUGAGACGUUUUUAAAACGUAGAUAAAUGAUUAUCGCAACAGAACAUGGCUUAAUGAGUG
rnacentral:RNase_P_RNA from 1 species